CGAACGCUGGCGGCGUGCCUAAUACAUGCACGUCGAGCGAAGUUUUUCUGGUGCUUGCACUAGAAAAACUUAGCGGCGAACGGGUGAGUAACACGUAAAGAACCUGCCUCAUAGACUGGGACAACUAUUGGAAACGAUAGCUAAUACCGGAUAACAGUAUUUCUCGCAUGAGUGAUAUUUAAAAGUUGGUUAUGCUAACACUAUGAGAUGGCUUUGCGGUGCAUUAGCUAGUUGGUGGGGUAAAGGCCCACCAAGGCGACGAUGCAUAGCCGACCUGAGAGGGUGAUAGGCCACACUGAGACUGAGACACGGCCCAGACUCCUACGGGAGGCAGAAGUAGGGAAUCUUCCGCAAUGGGCGAAAGCCUGACGGAGCAACGCCGCGUGAGUGAAGAAGGAUUUCGGUUCGUAAAGCACUGUUGUUAGGGAAGAAUGGAUAUGUAGUAACUAUACAUGUAAGAGACGGUACCUAACCAGAAAGCCACGGCUAACUACGUG
rnacentral:rRNA from 1 species